GGUGAUUAACUAAAAGACAGACUAAGCAUGUAGGACCGAGGAUGUAGGUAUUACGGACGCGGGUUCAACUCCCGCCAGCUCCACCA
rnacentral:tmRNA from 1 species